GGCAGUAUGGUGUAUUGAUGCACACGGGGUCACUAUAAAGGCAUAAGCGAGAACUUUCACCCCGAGGUCCUUGUUCGAAUCAAGGUGCUGCUC